rnacentral:rRNA from 1 species
UACGAAGGGUGCAAACGUUGCUCGGAAUUAUUGGGCGUAAAGCGCACGUAGGCGGCCCAGCAAGUCGGAAGUGAAAUCCCACGGCUCAACCAUGGAAGUGCUUUCGAAACUGCUGGGCUUGAGUACAAAAGAGGAUCGCGGAAUUCCCGGUGUAGAGGUGAAAUUCGUAGAUAUCGGGAGGAACACCAGUGGCGAAGGCGGCGAUCUGGGUUGAGUACUGACGCUGAGGUGCGAAAGCGUGGGGAGCGAUCCGG